UGCGUAGGUGGCGUAUUAAGUCAGUGGUGAAAAGCUGCAGCUCAACUGUAGUCUUGCCGUUGAAACUGAUAUGCUAGAGAGAGACGAGGUAUGCGGAAUGUGUGGUGUAACGGUGAAAUGCAUAGAUAUCGACACAGAACGCCGAUUGCGAAGGCAGCGUACCAGGCUCCGUACCGACACUGAAGCACGAAAGCGUAGGGAUCAAACA
rnacentral:rRNA from 1 species